rnacentral:rRNA from 1 species
GACGAACGCUGGCGGCGUGCUUAACACAUGCAAGUCGAACGAAGUGGCGCACGGGUGAGUAACGUGUAAUCAACCUGCCCUUCAGCGGGGGACAACAGUAGGAAACGACUGCUAAUACCGCAUACUGAAGGUGGGGAUUGAGUCUGAUUCGCUAGUUGGAGGGGUAACGGCCCCCCAAGGCGAUGAUCAGUAGCCGGUCUGGGAGGGUGAACGGGCACAUUGGGACUGAGACACGGCCCAGGAUCCUACGGGAGGCAGCCGGUGGGAAUCUUCCGCAAUGGACGGAAGUCUGACGGAGCAACGCCGCGUUGGUGAUGACGGCCUUCGGGUUGUAAAGCUCUGUUAAUCGGGACGCGGUACCGGAAUAGAAAGCCACGGCUAACUACGUGCCAGCAGCCGCGGUAAUAC